GAAAAUGUUUAGUUUUGUCCAAACACAAUAAUGACACUUUCCUAAAGGUAUGAAAUCUAGUAAUCACAUUAUAAAAAAGUGGAAGUCAAGAACCAUUCCACAAAUCAAAGGCCACUUAGCGAGAUCCCAUGGUUGAUAGGAUUAUCAAUUCAAUAAAAAUCAAAAUAUAACUAGGAAUCUUAUAGCUAGGAAAAAUUAAAGGAAUUUUAG
rnacentral:misc_RNA from 1 species